AAUUAAAAAUUUCAUCUAUUUAUACUGUUAAAAAUAAGUGUGGUUAACAAAAUAAACAAACAGUUACACAUGGCACCUCACGGGAUCGUAUAGGGACUAGUUUUAAAUAGUAAAAAUUGAUGAAAUUUUUAACA
rfam:Gossypium hirsutum cultivar TM-1 unplaced genomic scaffold scaffold1609.1, whole genome shotgun sequence